rnacentral:lncRNA from 1 species
GUUUUGCCAAAGAAGGAAGGAAGAUGCGUAGCUACGUAGAGGUGGGACGUGUCUAGUAUGGGUUGAUUGAGUUCCAUUCGGAGUGGUGGGAUGCAUCUGAAAUCGUUUGGAGUGUCCAAUUGUCUAUGGGGGUUUUGCAGAAAUCUUGGAGAAGCGUGGUUCCGAGCCCCAACUUUGGGGCCCCAUAGCUUGGGGGUGGGGCCUUUGCCCCUCGUGGGGCUCUCGCCGGUGGGCUCGGGAGCCCUUAGUUGGGGGGGUGGGAUGGAGUGGGGGUCGAGGUUCCGGUGGGUUCCGCUGGGAUUUUUUCUCCAAUCGUACCGUUAUCAAUAAAGCUGAUUCACAUCACUGUACUUAUAUUAUCAUAUGCUCCGCCAUUGCUAUAGCCAUCGCCAACUGCUAUGGACCGGUGUCCAAUGAUUUAGGAGUAGUUCUCCGUAUGUGAAAAUUUUUUCCCGAUUAAAUGUAUUAUGAAUUACAACAAAUUUUUAUUCUGAGCUAUUUUAAUUAAAAGCAUAAUUCAUAAAAUAGUUUAUUUCUUUUACAUAAAAUAAUAAAUUAAAAUUAAAAUGUCUUGAAUCAAAUAAAAAUUACGAGUAGAUUACUAAAAAUAAUAAUGCUAAUAUAAACAGUAACUUAUAAUUAAAAGAAUCGUUCUAAUGAAGGACCUCUUUUCGUGUUUCCACAAAAUUGGAACAUUUUUUCCUUACUUUCGAUGUUUUCCGUCUAAAUUAACAACUAGGAAUUAUUUACUUUUUUCUUCAGAUGUGACUUGAACGCUAUUACUGUGCCAAAUUCGAAGUAUCUUCGUCCAGAGUUACGCCUGGAUUUUUCCAUUAACACUAUAACAAUUCGUUAUUUAAAAAGGGAGAUAAUGUUUAUCUAUAUAAUAUAUAUAAUAGACGGUAUAUAAGUUCUGUAAAUAAAUUGAACCGUCUUGCUUUUAAUAUGAAAGUAAAAACAUUUCCAGUAUGAUGGCUAAGCGUAUGGAAGGAAAUGUAUUUAAGCGUAUGGAAGUACUGCACAUUGAAAAUGUGCCAAUGAACAGUCGGGAUAACUGCGUUUAACACUUUACUGAAAAAAUAAAAAGCUUAGGCAAAUGAAAAAUAUAACUGAAGUUUUUAUGAUUUGUGUUAAAAAAAUGCUUAAGGAUAAACUGUUGGCAAAAUGCAGCAUUUAAGAUUUUAAAAAAAGAAAGUAGACAUAAUCUGUAAAUUAAGCUGCAUGAAACUGUCUUACUAGAAAAAAAUUAAAUCUAAUAAACAGUACUGUUAUAUAUUUAAAAAUUGGAAUGUCUGUAUGGAUUGUGAAUAAAAAUUUCCAUAAUGCAAUGAAAAAUGACUGACUAAAUAAAAGAACAGAUUUUUUAUAUUUGGUUUGAAGUAAAUACAAUAGAAAUGAAAGAAUACAGUACUGUAUAACUGUAUAGCAUAUAACAAACAGUUUUUAUAAAUUGUGUUUAACUGUUUUCUAUCUAAGAAAGAAGUAAACGUAGUACUGAAUGCAAUGUUUAAUUAAUACUUAACUUUUAUUAUAGUAUAGACUUAUUUCAUUUACUAAUUAAUUUAUAUUUCGUAAAGUAAAUAAUACUUUUGGGCUGCCUUGUGGAGGUGCCUUUGUUUGCAUCGUUUGGAUUGCAACGAC